CGGAGAGAAGGGAAUGGGGUCUCCCGAAACCGCCGAGAGGCUGAUGACUCCUGCCAAUUC
rnacentral:ncRNA from 2 species